CAAAUUAUUCUUAUUUAUUACAAAUUCACCCAUAGGAGGAACUGAAAAUAAAAAAGAGGGAUUUCACUCAGAAAAUCACAGACAUAGGCAAGAAGGUCCAGGCGUUUAGGAAGGCUGUGGAUUCUCAUAAGCGCUCUGCACAGGCAGUAGUGGAGCACAGUGACAGGAUCUUCAAUGAGCUCAUCCGCUCCAUUCAGAAAAGACGAGGUGAGGUGAAAGAACUGAUCAGAGCUCAGGAGAAGAAGGAGAUGGUACAGAUUAAUGAACACAUACAGAAACUGGAGCAGGAGCUCAGUAAUCUGCAAAAUGAGAAUGAUAAACUGGGGCCACUUUUACAUACAGAGGAUAACAUUAAUUUCUUUCAGAAUUACUCUUCUCAAUCUGGAGUGUAUCUGUGCAAAACUUCACCCAGAGAUGUUAAUGACCUCCUGACAUUUGAGAAUGUAGACAAAUCUGUCUCAGAGCUGAACAGCCAACUGGUCAAACUCUGUGAAGAGCACAUGGGCAAAAUAUCAAAGAAAGGUGAAGUAAAACUGUCAAGAACCAUUCAGACUUUUACAAGUAUGAAGUAGAAAUGAAACGGUAGGAUAUUUCAUAUCACGAUUAUAGUGACCAA